GACGAACGCUGGCGGCGUGCUUAACACAUGCAAGUCGAACGGAAAGGCCCUGCUUUUGUGGGGUGCUUGAGUGGCGAACGGGUGAGUAACACGUGAGUAACCUGCCCUUGACUUUGGGAUAACUUCAGGAAACUGGGGCUAAUACCGGAUAGGAGCUCCUGCUGCAUGGUGGGGGUUGGAAAGUUUCGGCGGUUGGGGAUGGACUCGCGGCUUAUCAGCUUGUUGGUGGGGUAGUGGCUUACCAAGGCUUUGACGGGUAGCCGGCCUGGGAGGGUGACCGGCCACAUUGGGACUGAGAUACGGCCCAGACUCCUACGGGAGGCAGCAGUGGGGAAUAUUGCACAAUGGGCGGAAGCCUGAUGCAGCAACGCCGCGUGCGGGAUGACGGCCUUCGGGUUGUAAACCGCUUUCGCCUGUGACGAAGCGUGAGUGACGGUAAUGGGUAAAGAAGCACCGGCUAACUACGUG
rnacentral:rRNA from 1 species